rnacentral:tRNA from 1 species
AGAGAGAAAAUGGUAAAAUUACUGCUAAUAAUUUUCUGUCGAUUUAAUUCCGACUUUCUCUU